rnacentral:rRNA from 1 species
UUAGCAUGGAAUAAUAAAAUAGGACGUGCGUUUCUAUUUUGUUGGUUUCUAGAGACGCCGCAAUGAUUAACAGGAACAGUCGGGGGCAUCAGUAUUCAGUUGUCAGAGGUGAAAUUCUUGGAUUUACUGAAGACUAACUACUGCGAAAGCAUUUGCCAAGGAUGUUUUCAUUAAUCAGUGAACGAAAGUUAGGGGAUCGAAGACGAUCAGAUACCGUCGUAGUCUUAACCGUAAACUAUGCCGACUAGGGAUCGGGCGAUGUUCUUUUUCUGACUCGCUCGGCACCUUACGAGAAAUCAAAGUUUUUGGGUUCUGGGGGGAUUAUGGUCGCAAGGCUGAAACUUAAAGAAAUUGACGGAAGGUCACCACCAGGCGUGGAGCCUGCGGCUUAAUUUGACCCAACACGGGGAAACUCACCAGGUCCAGAUGAAAUAAGGAUUGACAGAUUGAGAGCUCUUUCUUGAUUUUUCAGGUGGUGGUGCAUGGCCGUUCUUAGUUCGUGGGGUGACUUGUCUGCUUAAUUGCGAUAACGAGCGAGACCUUACUCUGCUAAAUAGCCAGGCUAGCUUUGGCUGGUCGCCGGCUUCUUAGAGAGACUAUCAACUCAAGUUGAUGGAAGUUUGAGGCAAUAACAGGUCUGUGAUGCCCUUAGAUGUUCUGGGCCGCACGCGCGCUACACUGACAGAGCCAACGAGUUCUUCACCUUGGCCGAAAGGUCUGGGUAAUCUUGUUAAACUCUGUCGUGCUGGGGAUAGAGCAUUGCAAU